rnacentral:hammerhead_ribozyme from 1 species
GAAUUGCUGAGGAGUCCCACAAUAAGAUUAAACGGCCGUCCAGUGC